rnacentral:rRNA from 1 species
UACGGGGGGGGGCAAGCGUUGUUCGGAAUUACUGGGCGUAAAGGGCUCGUAGGCGGCCAACUAAGUCAGACGUGAAAUCCCUCAGCUUAACUGGGGAACUGCGUCUGAUACUGGAUGGCUUGAGAUUGGGAGAGGGAUGCGGAAUUCCAGGUGUAGCGGUGAAAUGCGUAGAUAUCUGGAGGAACACCGGUGGCGAAGGCGGGUCUCUGGGCAGUAACUGACGCUGAGGAGCGAAAGCGUGGGGAGCGAACAGG